rnacentral:misc_RNA from 1 species
GUUCUAUCUCAAAUUUUUUGGUCGCCAUAGAAAUGGCGGGACUAGAGGCUGCACUCUCCCUCCUACUGCGCCAUCCUUCUUCUUCGUCUAAAUCCGUCUCAUCUCCCAAACUACAACGGCAGUUCAUAAAUCUCCACAGCUCCAAUUCUUUCCUUCUCCCUUCCAAAAAUCUUCGUGUGUUUCCUCUCACCCACAGCCGCCCAUCAACUCGAAAGCUUUCCUUUGAACUAGGUUCCACCUUGGAAGAAAUAACAGCAGAGACCAAAGCACAAGAAACCCAGGAAGUAAGCCAAAAGAGAAAACUAUAUGUAGUCAAUUUGCCUUGGUCUCUCUCUGUUGCUGAUAUCAAAAACCUCUUUGGCCAAUGUGGGACUGUAACAGAUGUUGAGAUUAUAAAGCAAAAAGAUGGGAGGAGCAAGGGCUUUGCGUUUGUGACUAUGGCCUCUGGGGAGGAAGCUCAGGCUGUUAUUGAUAAAUUUGACUCUCAUGAACUUUCAGGGAGGAUUAUUAGGGUUGAAUUUGCAAAGAGGUUCAGGAAACCCUCUCCUCCACUUCCUCCAGGCACUCCUGCCCGGGAGACCCGACAUAAGCUCUAUGUUUCCAAUCUUGCUUGGAAAGUUAGAGCAACUCAUCUGAGGGACUUUUUCUCUGCUAAUUUCAACCCGAUUUCAAGUAGAGUUGUCUUUGACAGCCCUUCUGGAAGAUCUGCUGGCUAUGGGUUUGUUUCAUUUGCCACACAGGAGGAGGCAGUUGCUGCUAUAUCUGCUCUUGAUGGAAAGGAAUUAAUGGGUCGACCGCUUCAGCUGAAAUUCAGUGAAAGAAAGGCUGAUGAAUCUGGAAGUGCAACGCAAGAGGAAGUAAUAUAAAUACCCAUCAUUUGGUAACCAUGCCUUUGGUUUGCUGAUCGACGGUACAAAUAAAGCAGCAGCAGCGGAUAUGGCAAAAAAUUAUUUAUCUUACUCCAAUUAAUUUGCAAUUAAAACUUAUUCGUGCAUUCUCUUCUCUUUUUCUACCAGUAUUGUGUAUAAGUUGUUGAUAUUAUUAUAAAUAUAUUACAUAACCGAUGUCGAGGCCUAAAGGCUAUGUCCUAAGCAUGCUAGGCUACACCGGCCCACUCAUAAAUGGCAACUAGGCUUUUUGAUUUUUUUGACAGUAAAGUGAAAUACACGCACACACGAGAGUAUAUGAGUUAUUAUAUCAGCACUCACAUUCAGGUAAUUGCUGACUGAGAGGAGUCUUGACACAUGCUUAUAAAUUCACACAAGUCCACAACUGAUAUGGAAGUCAUGCUUAUAAAUUCACACAAGUCCACAACUGAUAUGGAAGUCAUGCUUAUAAAUUCACACAAGUCCACAACUGAUAUGGAAGU